GGGUUGUGAGGUUAAGCGACUAAGCGUACACGGUGGAUGCCCUGGCAGUCAGAGGCGAUGAAGGACGUGCUAAUCUGCGAAAAGCGUCGGUAAGGUGAUAUGAACCGUUAUAACCGGCGAUGUCCGAAUGGGGAAACCCAGUGCAAUUCGUUGCACUAUCGUUAACUGAAUACAUAGGUUAACGAGGCGAACCGGGGGAACUGAAACAUCUAAGUACCCCGAGGAAAAGAAAUCAACCGAGAUUCCCCCAGUAGCGGCGAGCGAACGGGGAACAGCCCAGAGUCUGAAUCAGCUUGUGUGUUAGUGGAACGGUCUGGAAAGUCCGACGGUACAGGGUGAUAGUCCCGUACACCAAAAUGCACAGGCUGUGAACUCGAAGAGUAGGGCGGGACACGUGGUAUCCUGUCUGAAUAUGGGGGGACCAUCCUCCAAGGCUAAAUACUCCUGACUGACCGAUAGUGAACCAGUACCGUGAGGGAAAGGCGAAAAGAACCCCGGCGAGGGGAGUGAAAAAGAACCUGAAACCGUGUACGUACAAGCAGUGGGAGCACCUUCGGGUGUGACUGCGUACCUUUUGUAUAAUGGGUCAGCGACUUAUAUUCUGUAGCAAGGUUAACCGUAUAGGGGAGCCGCAGGGAAACCGAGUCUUAACUGGGCGUUAAGUUGCAGGGUAUAGACCCGAAACCCGGUGAUCUAGCCAUGGGCAGGUUGAAGGUUGGGUAACACUAACUGGAGGACCGAACCGACUAAUGUUGAAAAAUUAGCGGAUGACUUGUGGCUGGGGGUGAAAGGCCAAUCAAACCGGGAGAUAGCUGGUUCUCCCCGAAAGCUAUUUAGGUAGCGCCUCGUGAACUCAUCUUCGGGGGUAGAGCACUGUUUCGGCUAGGGGGUCAUCCCGACUUACCAACCCGAUGCAAACUACGAAUACCGAAGAAUGUUAUCACGGGAGACACACGGCGGGUGCUAACGUCCGUCGUGAAGAGGGAAACAACCCAGACCGCCAGCUAAGGUCCCAAAGUCAUGGUUAAGUGGGAAACGAUGUGGGAAGGCACAGACAGCCAGGAUGUUGGCUUAGAAGCAGCCAUCAUUUAAAGAAAGCGUAAUAGCUCACUGGUCGAGUCGGCCUGCGCGGAAGAUGUAACGGGGCUAAACCAUGCACCGAAGCUGCGGCAGCGACACUAUGUGUUGUUGGGUAGGGGAGCGUUCUGUAAGCCUGCGAAGGUGACCUGUGAGGGUUGCUGGAGGUAUCAGAAGUGCGAAUGCUGACAUAAGUAACGAUAAAGCGGGUGAAAAGCCCGCUCGCCGGAAGACCAAGGGUUCCUGUCCAACGUUAAUCGGGGCAGGGUGAGUCGACCCCUAAGGCGAGGCCGAAAGGCGUAGUCGAUGGGAAACAGGUUAAUAUUCCUGUACUUGGUGUUACUGCGAAGGGGGGACGGAGAAGGCUAUGUUAGCCGGGCGACGGUUGUCCCGGUUUAAGCAUGUAGGCUGGUUAUCCAGGCAAAUCCGGAUAAUCAAGGCUGAGGUGUGAUGACAAGGCACUACGGUGCUGAAGUAACAAAUGCCCUGCUUCCAGGAAAAGCCUCUAAGCAUCAGGUAACAUCAAAUCGUACCCCAAACCGACACAGGUGGUCAGGUAGAGAAUACCAAGGCGCUUGAGAGAACUCGGGUGAAGGAACUAGGCAAAAUGGUGCCGUAACUUCGGGAGAAGGCACGCUGGUGUGUAGGUGAAGCCCCUGCGGGUGGAGCUGAGACCAGUCGAAGAUACCAGCUGGCUGCAACUGUUUAUUAAAAACACAGCACUGUGCAAACACGAAAGUGGACGUAUACGGUGUGACGCCUGCCCGGUGCCGGAAGGUUAAUUGAUGGGGUUAUCCGUAAGGAGAAGCUCUUGAUCGAAGCCCCGGUAAACGGCGGCCGUAACUAUAACGGUCCUAAGGUAGCGAAAUUCCUUGUCGGGUAAGUUCCGACCUGCACGAAUGGCGUAAUGAUGGCCAGGCUGUCUCCACCCGAGACUCAGUGAAAUUGAACUCGCUGUGAAGAUGCAGUGUACCCGCGGCAAGACGGAAAGACCCCGUGAACCUUUACUAUAGCUUGACACUGAACAUUGAGCCUUGAUGUGUAGGAUAGGUGGGAGGCUUUGAAGCGUGGACGCCAGUCUGCGUGGAGCCAACCUUGAAAUACCACCCUUUAAUGUUUGAUGUUCUAACGUUGGCCCCUGACCGGGGUUGCGGACAGUGUCUGGUGGGUAGUUUGACUGGGGCGGUCUCCUCCCAAAGCGUAACGGAGGAGCACGAAGGUUAGCUAAUCCUGGUCGGACAUCAGGAGGUUAGUGCAAUGGCAUAAGCUAGCUUGACUGCGAGCGUGACGGCGCGAGCAGGUGCGAAAGCAGGUCAUAGUGAUCCGGUGGUUCUGAAUGGAAGGGCCAUCGCUCAACGGAUAAAAGGUACUCCGGGGAUAACAGGCUGAUACCGCCCAAGAGUUCAUAUCGACGGCGGUGUUUGGCACCUCGAUGUCGGCUCAUCACAUCCUGGGGCUGAAGUAGGUCCCAAGGGUAUGGCUGUUCGCCAUUUAAAGUGGUACGCGAGCUGGGUUUAGAACGUCGUGAGACAGUUCGGUCCCUAUCUGCCGUGGGCGCUGGAGAAUUGAGGGGGGCUGCUCCUAGUACGAGAGGACCGGAGUGGACGCAUCACUGGUGUUCGGGUUGUCAUGCCAAUGGCACUGCCCGGUAGCUAAAUGCGGAAGAGAUAAGUGCUGAAAGCAUCUAAGCACGAAACUUGCCCCGAGAUGAGUUCUCCCUGAGACUUUAAGUCUCCUGAAGGAACGUUGAAGACGACGACGUUGAUAGGCCGGGUGUGUAAGCGCAGCGAUGUGUUGAGCUAACCGGUACUAAUGAACCGUGAGGCUUAACCUUACAACGCCGAAG
rnacentral:rRNA from 1 species